rnacentral:rRNA from 1 species
AGGCAGCAGUGGGGAAUAUUGCGCAAUGGGCGAACCCUGACGCAGCGACGCCGCGUGGGGGAUGAAGGGCUUCGGGUUGUAAACCCCUUUCAUUAGGGAACAAGCCUGAGGGACGGUCCCUGCGGAAGAAGCACCGGCUAACUACGUGCCGGCAGCCGCGGUAAUACGUAGGGUGCAAGCGUUGUCCGGAUUUAUUGGGCGUAAAGAGCUCGUAUGCGGUUCGUCACGUCGGAUGUGAAAACCUGGGGCUUAACUCUGAACCUGCAUUCGAUACGGGCUAACUCGAGUGUUGUAUGGGAGACUGGAAUUCCU